AUGUGGCUUAGUUAAGAGGCGAAUAUCAAUCGGAAGCCAAAUUAACUUUUGGUUUCUUUUAGAGAGAGGUUUUUUGAAGGGACUCUCUGAUUUUUCAUAUAUCAGUUGUCCCUCAAGCAUGCCUUUCACAAUU